GGGGACGUUUUGGAUUAGACAGGAUGUUUGGUGAAAAUAGGUUGCGGGUCCGGGCGCUGUUCCCGGUUACCAACGAGCAAAACAAAUUAAAUGCUAAAAAUAAUGUAAUCGAAGCAGACUUCUCUAGAGCUUACGCUUUAGCAGCAUAGUCACUCGACGAAUAGCUACUCAUAGAUCCCAUCUUGCCGGAUUUAUGGGUCAAUUAUGCAAGAUGCAGUACAGUGAUUGGCGGUAACUGUAUUAAGAUAACUGUCAGGGGUUUAGAGUUUCCCAAAAAUAAAACCUAGGAUUAACAUUACGGGUUUUGUGCUUUCCUUAGUUAAUCGAGAAAAUAAGUAACUACACUCGUAGAUAUCUGUUUUGAUCCAUUUUGGACGUGGGUUCGACUCCCACCGUCUCCA
rnacentral:tmRNA from 1 species